AAAUGCAAAUCGCAGAGUCUGGGACACACACAGAGAGAGAGAGAGAGAGAGAGAGAGAGAGAGAGAGAGAGAGGGUCGAGUGUUGGAGAGGAACCGAAUUCGAAAUCGGCCUCCGGGGCCUUCUUAAUUAAGUUGUACGCGGUGCAAUAGUGCACCAUCGGAGUCCGCCGAUGGCUUUCUUCUCCGACCAGUAUAGACUAGAUAGGAAGAAGCCAAGCGGGAGUAGACUGUUGGAAUACAUGAAGAAAGCUCCCGUUUCUUUCAAGGCCCACCAAGCCAUCGUCCUAAAUGCGACCUUCUUUGCCUAUGCAAGCUUCCAUGCCGCUCGUAAAACCACAAGCGUGGUGAAGAGCGCCCUCAAUCCCGAGUCUUCUUUCAGAAACGACCCUCAGCUUCAUUCCCUCCCCACCUCUGACCACAUUUCAGGAUCAGAAGCGGGUGAUGGCGGGAAGCGGCUGGGCCCCAUUCAAUGGCUCUGACGGAUGUUCACUGCUUGGCGAACUUGAUCUGGCUUUCCUUACGGCCUAUGCCUUUGGAAUGUACUUCUCGGGUCAUUUUGCUGACCGGAUGAGCUUAAGGAUAAUUUUAGCUGCGGGAAUGAUAGGAAGUGGUCUAUUUGCCUCGCUCUUUGGUGUUGCUUACUGGGCAAACAUCCACAACUUCUACUAUUUCUUGGCUGUUCAAAUGCUUGCUGGCUUGUUUCAAUCAACAGGCUGGCCUUCCGCCGUUGCAGUUGUCGGGAACUGGUUCGGGAAGAGAAAGAGGAAAACAAGAAUAUAUUUAAA